rnacentral:rRNA from 1 species
GAUGAACGCUAGCUACAGGCUUAACACAUGCAAGUCGAGGGGAAACGACAUCGAAAGCUUGCUUUUGAUGGGCGUCGACCGGCGCACGGGUGAGUAACGCGUAUCCAACCUGCCCAUCACUUGGGAAUAACCUUGCGAAAGUAAGACUAAUACCCAAUGACAUCCCACGAAGACAUCUGAAUGGGAUUAAAGAUUUAUCGGUGAUGGAUGGGGAUGCGUCUGAUUAGCUUGUUGGCGGGGUAACGGCCCACCAAGGCAACGAUCAGUAGGGGUUCUGAGGGGAAGGUCCCCCACAUUGGAACUGAGACACGGUCCAAACUCCUACGGGAGGCAGCAGUGAGGAAUAUUGGUCAAUGGGCGAGAGCCUGAACCAGCCAAGUAGCGUGCAGGAUGACGGCCCUAUGGGUUGUAAACUGCUUUUAUAAGGGAAUAAAGUGGGUCUCGUGAGACUUUUUGCAUGUACCUUAUGAAUAAGGACCGGCUAAUUCCGUG